rnacentral:lncRNA from 1 species
UAGCUGUCUCAUAUUCUUAGUGUAUGUUAGUCUCCUUUUGGGUUCCAGGAAUCUGCUGUUGCACCAUUUGUUAUCCCACUUAUCCUUCUGUUCGUCGUUUGUCAUUCAGAUGCUUUCAUCCAAAGCAAAUAUCAUUUAUUGAAUAGCAGAAAAUAUAUGUUCAGUGGCAAAAAUAUUCCUCUUCUCUAUGCUGCUCAAAUAAAUUUCUUUUAAUGCUCAGUAGUGCCAUCUCUUAAAAAUU